rnacentral:tRNA from 1 species
GGAGAUGUAGCUCAGUGGUAGAGCACUUGCCCAGUAUGCACAAAGCCCUGGGUUCCAUCCUCAGUACCACCA